AUAACUAAAUAAGCAUUCGAAGACAGCAGGUGCAUUUUGCUUAAUAGCCUGCCGAGAUGCAGAGAAAGGGUGUGAGUAGCGCUCAUCUUUGGGUCUUGGCGGAUAGCUGAGGCCCUUUUGAUUUUGAAGU
rfam:Leptolyngbya sp. Heron Island J, whole genome shotgun sequence.